rnacentral:rRNA from 1 species
UACGUAGGGGGCAAGCGUUAUCCGGAUUUACUGGGUGUAAAGGGGGCGCAGACGGCGAUGCAAGCCAGGAGUGAAAGCCCGGGGCCCAACCCCGGGACUGCUCUUGGAACUGCGUGGCUGGAGUGCAGGAGGGGCAGGCGGAAUUCCUGGUGUAGCGGUGAAAUGCGUAGAUAUCAGGAGGAACACCGGUGGCGAAGGCGGCCAACUGGGCUUUAACUGACGCUGAGGCUCGAAAGUGUGGGGAGCAAACAGG